rnacentral:rRNA from 1 species
GUAAUACACCGGAACGUACCCAGUAGCGGGGGAUAGCCCGGCGAAAGCCGGAUUAAUACCGCAUACGCCCUACGGGGGAAAGGGGGGGAUCGUAAGACCUCUCACUAUUGGAGCGGCCGAUGGCUGAUUAGCUAGUUGGUGGGGUAAAGGCCUACCAAGGCAACGAUCAGUAGCUGGUCUGAGAGGACGACCAGCCACACUGGGACUGAGACACGGCCCAGACUCCUACGGGAGGCAGCAGUGGGGAAUUUUGGACAAUGGGCGAAAGCCUGAUCCAGCAAUGCCGCGUGUGCGAAGAAGGCCUUCGGGUUGUAAAGCACUUUUGUCAGGGAAGAAAUCGUUCGGGCUAAUACCUCGGGCAGUUGACGGUACCUGAAGAAUAAGCACCGGCUAACUACGUGCCAGCAGCCGCGGUAAUACGUAGGGUGCAAGCGUUAAUCGGAAUUACUGGGCGUAAAGCGUGCGCAGGUGGUUCGUUAAGACAGUUGUGAAAUCCCCGGGCUUAACCUGGGAACUGCAAUUGUGACUGGCGGACUAGAGUUUGGCAGAGGGGGGUGGAAUUCCUGGUGUAGCAGUGAAAUGCGUAGAUAUCAGGAGGAACACCGAUGGCGAAGGCAGCCCCCUGGGCCAUGACUGACACUCAUGCA